GCGAGUCCCGACCCGGGGCGCUGAGCCAGCUCCUUUCUCGAGCUUGGAAACGGGCUUGAGCGUUUUUCUUUUACGAAAAAUAAAGGCUAAUGCUGCUUCCACCAGCUUUAAACGUGACAUGGUGACGGAUGGUCAACCGCCAACUCCGAGCGGAGAUUUUUCAUUUCCUCCUGCCUUUGCAGAAUUACAGACCGUCCCCAGAAUUAGGGCCGGCGAGGACCAACGAUUUUCUAAACUGGCAGAUAAAAAUCCCAAGAUAAAUGCGUCAGCACCUAAGACAGAGCAAAGGGACACUUGCUCGCAGCUUGAGGAGGAAAAAGAUUCACCUGAAUCUCAGACUGGUUUUGCACGGCCUCUGCUGCUUUGGAUGCACUGGGCUACCAGAUGCAACAGCCCAUAGACUCCCUUGAAAAGAAGUGGCAGCUUCAGCCUAGGAGGGAACUCAAGCCGGAGUUAACUAUAAUGGAGCCAUCAGGUGCAUUCUGUCCAGCUGUCACAGGCCCUUACCUGGAGGCAGAUGGGCGGGGACAGUGGAGCAACUCUCACAAGGUUACUAAUAUAGCAGGCUUCUCUUAUCUGCAAGGGGAUGCCUCCCAAACCCCCAGUGGAUGCCUGAAACCAUGGAUAGUACCCAACCCCGUAUAUACUGUUUUUUUUUUUUUUACCUAAACAUACAUACCUAAGAAUAGAGUUUGACUUAUAAAUUAGGCAGAGUAAGAGAUUACCAACAAUGACUAACAAUAAAAAACAAUUACAGCAAUAUGCUACAACAGAAGUUAUGUGAAUGUGGUCUCUCAAACUGUCUUAUUGUACUGUACUCACACUUCUUGAGAUUAUGUGAAAUGAUAAAAAUGUCUCUGUGAGAGAUGAAGUGAGGUUAAACGAUGCAGCAUUGUGAUGUAGCCUUAGGCUACUAUUGAUCUUUUUUGACAACAGUCAGGAGAAUCAGCUACUUCCCAACUGUGGUUGACCUCGGGUAAAUGAAACUGCAGAAAGCAAAAGGUCAGAUAUGGGGGCUGUAUUGUACCUCAGUGACGUUGGAGUUCACUAUGUGCUUGUACACACAGCAUCGCAUUGGAAGCUCAUUGGACGCUCAAAACUAGCCUGGAGUGAGGCAGGUUUUGUUCCUUUACACAGAGGAAGGAACUGAGGGGUUCUGGGAUUUACCAAGGCCGCUCAGGUACUGAAUAACAGGACUCGAACCCAGCCCAGGUCUUUCCAAUUCAGAUGACGCUUCUUCCAAGAAAGGCAUGCUGAACCAAGGUGAUACAUGUCUAUAAGCAGACAGCAGAAAUAGCCAAGUCACUUUCUCCUAAAUUCACUUGAGAAAGUCUAGCCACCACUGAUUUAAACACCUUCCUCCAAGAACCCUGUCAAGACUGUAAGUUUUGUCUUCUGACCUCCUCAAAACAAAUAACUGAGAACCAGGUUUUUCAGCAAAAACCUAGAAAAUAUUACCAUGUAGCUAGUGAGGCUAUGGAGACACCAUGAUGUAGUGGAGAAAAGAAGACAUGAGCUUUGGACUGAGACAGUGAAUAUCCAAACCCCAUCAGUUACAAGACAUGUGGCUUUGAGUGUGAUAUUUAAAUGCACUGCACCUUAGUUUUCUCAUCUGUAAAAUGGGGCUCAUUUCUUCUUCAGGCUUGUAGUAAGGAUGAAAUUAAAUAUUAUAUAAACUGCUCAAUUUACAAUAGGUGCUCAAUGAAUGAUCAUUUCCUUUCUCAACUUCUUUAAGGUGAACAGUGUCAUAAGAACUUGGAGUCCUUGGAAAAUAAUGGGGGGGGGGUGGAAAUCACAUUCUCAAAAUGCUUAUUGCAGGAUAACUGAAGAUGGAGCACCACGAAGCUAAUGAAUAUUAACCUUCAGGACACCUCACUUUCACAGGCCCCUUCCAACAGGAGCCCUAACAAUGUGUUCACAUUGCUUGCAAAAAGGACUUGCUAUAAUGAAAAAAUCAGUUGUCGGGAUCCCUGGGUGGCGCAGCGGUUUGGCGCCUGCCUUUGGCCCAGGGCGCGAUCCUGGAGACCCGGGAUCGAAUCCCACAUCGGGCUUCCGGUGCAUGGAGCCUGCUUCUCCCUCUGCCUGUGUCUCUGCCUCUCUCUCUCUCUCUGUGACUAUCAUAAAUAAAUAAAAAUUUAAAAAAAAAUCAGUUGUCAUGUCACAAGGACACUCAAGUUGCCCUAUGGAGUGGUCCCAGUGGUGAUGACCUGAGACCUCCUGCCAACAGUCAAGUGAGCCAUCUUGGAAAUAGAUCCUCCAGGGUCAGUCAAGCCAUCAAAUGACUAUGCUGUGGAUGACAUCUUGACAACAACAUCAUGAGAAAUUCCAUACCACCUGAUCUGCUCUUAAACUCCUGACCUACAAAAAACUGUGAAAUAAUAAAUAUUUAUUUUGUUUUAAGCUAAUAUACUUUGGGGGUGAUUGCUACACAGUGAUGGGUAACUAAUAAAAGUAAGAAACAAGAAAGGAGAGAGAUCCUUCAGACUGAGAUGUAUUCUGACAUUUGUGGAAGGAGACAAGGUAGAAAGGAUUGGAGUAGGAAAAGUCUUAACACAGCACAGUUCCAAGAAUGGAUUUACUAAGUAGAUGGAGAAUUCCCAAGUCAAAGUUGCCCAUUGACGAAUUCCUAUGUCUUGCCAGAAUGGGCCCACUGAGCCUGCUGUACUUAAGCAUUGACUGGGAAUAACUCUUGGGAAGUAUGGCCCCAGUGCAAACAGGGUGGUAGAUCCAGGGAGCAAGAGUUAGGGCUGUCAGUCAUUUAUGUUCCCCAUAGCAGGAGCUCUGAGUGACACAUAUUUAUAAGCACCACAGCUUGCUUAGGGGCAGUGACACCAAAACAUCAAUGAGCACAGCUAGUGUCAAGACCUUAGCUUCUAAAUAACAUUUUCUUUGAGAGGAACCAGGGCUCCUUAGAGAAAUGACUGAUCCCACAUCUGGGGCAGGGAAAGUAUGAGUCUGGAACCCCUUGCUGUGUCAGAGCAAGGCAAGGCUCAAGGAAUGAUAUGAAGGUGUCAAAAGGACAUAGGAGCCAACUUGAAGGGCCUUCUACUGGCCAAGUCAGGGAUAAUGUGAGCAUCAAAAUUUUAAAUGACAGUAAAAGAUUAUCACCCAUUAAACAAAACAGAAAAUUACAAGUAGGAAGACAUAAAUAAAGGAGUACAUCAAAAGUUCGAUGAGGAGUGGGAUGUUUACAUGGUUUCAGUAGUAAAAAGAAUAUGUUCAUAGAGGAUAUGCCUGGCAGAUACUACCUUAAGCAAGGAAUCAAAGUGAACAUCAUUAGUAAUGGGAUAGAUUGAAAUCAUGUGCCACAUGACAGGAUAUAACGAGAUAAAAGCAAUAUCACUUCUAUGAUAUUCCUGCCAAGGUUGUAUAACCUGAAUAUAAUCAUAAGUAAACACCAGCAAACCCCAAAUUAAGGGACGAGUUACAAGAUAACUAACCCAUCUUCUUCAAAACUGUCAAGGUCAUGAAAGACAAAGAAAGACCGAGGAACUUCUCCAGGCUGGGGGAGACUAGUCAAUGCAGUGUAUGAUUCUGAACUAGAUCCCGUCGCUGGAAAACAUGUCACUGAGACAGCCAGCAGAAUUGGAGUAGAGUCUGAGGACUGGAUGGUAGUCGUACAUCAGUG